rnacentral:rRNA from 1 species
CGGUAAUACGUAGGGUCCGAGCGUUGUCCGGAAUUACUGGGCGUAAAGAGCUCGUAGGUGGUUUGUCGCGUUGUUCGUGAAAACUCACAGCUUAACUGUGGGCGUGCGGGCGAUACGGGCAGAUAGAGUACUGCAGGGGAGACUGGAAUUCCUGGUGUAGCGGUGGAAUGCGCAGAUAUCAGGAGGAACACCGGUGGCGAAGGCGGGUCUCUGGGCAGUAACUGACGCUGAGGAGCGAAAGCGUGGGUAGCGAACAGGAUUAGAUACCCUGGUAGUCCACGCCGUAAACGGUGGGUAUAGGUGUGGGUUUCCUUCCUUGGGAUCCGUGCCGUAGCUAACGCAUAAGUACCCCGCCUGGGGAGUACGGUCGCAAGAUAAAACUCAAAGGAAUUGACGGGGGCCCGCACAAGCGGCGGAGCAUGUGGAUUAAUUCGAUGCAACGCGAAGAACCUUACCUGGGUUUGACAUGCACAGGACGUACCUAGAGAUAGGUAUUCCCUUGUGGCCUGUGUGCAGGUGGUGCAUGG